GAAGCGGCAACAGCUCAAAUUUGAAAUCUGGCCCCUCUGGGGUCCGAGUUGUAAUUUGUAGAGAGUGCUUCGGGUGACACCGCGGUCUAAGUUCCUUGGAACAUGGCGUCAUAGAGGGUGAGAAUCCCGUAUGUGAUCGUGGCUCGAGCCCGUGUGAAGCCUCUUCGACGAGUCGAGUUGUUUGGGAAUGCAGCUCAAAAUGGGUGGUAAAUUUCAUCUAAAGCUAAAUACUGGCUGGAAACCGAUAGCGCACAAAUAAAGUGAUCGAAAGAUGAAAAGCACUUUGGAAAGAGAGUCAAAAAGUACGUGAAAUUGUUGAAAGGGAAGCGCUUGCAACCCGACCUGCCCGUAGGCGAUCAGCCGCUGUUCUCAGCGGUGCACUCGCUCUGCGAUCAGGCCAGCAUCGGUUUUGGCGGUCGGAUAAAGGCCUUGGGAAUGUAGCUUCCCUUCGGGAGAGUCUUAUAGCCCUCGGUGCAAUGCGGCCAGCCGAGACCGAUGACCGCGCUUCGGCUAGGAUGCUGGCGUAAUGGUUGUAAGCGACCCGUCUUGAAACACGGACCAAGGAGUCUAUUAUCGAUGCGAGGGUUUGGGUGUCAAACCCAUGCGCGAAAUGAGAGUGAACGGAGGUGAGAAUCCUUAGGGGCGCAUCAUC
rnacentral:rRNA from 1 species